GACGAACGCUGGCGGCGUGCUUGACACAUGCAAGUCGAACGGAAAGGCCUGCUUUCCCUUGUGGAUUGCGGGUACUCGAGUGGCGAACGGGUGAGUAACACGUGAGUGAUCUGCCCCCAACUUGGGUAUAAGCCUGGGAAACUGGGUCUAAUUCCCGAUAGGACUGCAGGGUGGUGCCUGUGGUGGAAAACGAUUUUCUAGUGGUUGGGGAUGAGCUCGCGGCCUAUCAGCUUGUUGGUGGGGUAAUGGCCUACCAAGGCGGCGACGGGUAGCCGGCCUGAGAGGGUGGACGGCCACAUUGGGACUGAGAUACGGCCCAGACUCCUACGGGAGGCAGCAGUGGGGAAUAUGGCACAAAGGGCGGAAGCCUGAUGCAGCGACGCCGCGUGGGGGAUGACGGCCUUCGGGUUGUAAACUCCUUUCGACCGCGAGGAAGCCACCUGGUUGGAAGGGUGGUGACGGUAGUGGUAGAAGAAGCACCGGCUAACUACGUG
rnacentral:rRNA from 1 species